rnacentral:lncRNA from 1 species
ACAGGACAUAUUUGUCUGUAGGUUGGCUUCGUUUCUUGAGGGUUCACGCUUCAUUCAUGGCGUCGAAGACGAAAGACAGAGACUAGCAGAGAGAAUGUGUCAAUAUAAACGACACACACUGAAGGGGUAAGAUUUUUUGUCAAAUGAUCAAAACCACACAAUCUCAAUUAAGGGGUAUGGGAACAAGAAAUCUUGACUUUUUAAAACUUAGCCAGUUGGGCUGAGGCGUUAGUAUGCGGAACUUUUCAAAGCACGAUUUCAUGACAUUGGCUUGUUUGAUAGAAGAAGCUUCACCAAAUAAAAUCUGAUCACAUGUAAAGAAAGAACAAAUGGGAUAUCAAGGAGAGAGAAUGAUUCUCCAUUUUUACAAUAUUGACUUGACUUGGAUUGGAAGAACUUAGAUGAAGCUACACAGGCAUCCCAACUUUUGCACCAUUUUCCACAAGUCGGCCAAAAGCUCUCGUCUUGACUAUUCAAGUUUUGUAGUUUGAUGGGGAGGCUGACAGAAAGUAGCAUUUGAUGCACCAGAACUGUUGCUGCAAACCUGGUUCCCGAAAAGUCUGCAACGUGUAAAAGUGGCAACCAAGAGUGAUGGUGAGGGGAAAAUACACAAUUAUCAUAGAAAAUCAAGAUCAAGGCCCAUCAACUGUCUCACAUUAAUGUAUUUUUGUAUUCAUCACCCAGAGUUAUUCUGGAAAUCUGAUUGUUCUGCAGAUCAACAAGCUGCAGUUGUGGGUUGUGUUAUGUUUUCCUAUUUAGAUCGGUGCACCAAAUGCUAUGUUACAUCAGGUUUUGAUAAGAGUUUAAAUUAAGUUACACCUUGAGACUCAACACCUUGUGGAAUAAGGAAGGGUUUUGAAGCCUAUUAAGGGGUCCUAUUUAUUUCCUUUUAUGCGUGAACCGAUUUGGUGGGCUUGGAAGAUAAGUCAAGUCGGCCCUUUGUAAUGAGUAGAGACGACUUGACCUAGCCCUAUAUAACCUUAAGGCCAUGCUGUCAUCAGCCACACCAUUCUUGACAGGACCUUUAAGGACCCGCCCCGAAUUUUCUCAAAACCCGAGACGAACCCUUUGGAAUUCCUGACAUCACCCCGAUGCCAGGCCCACUUACUAAAAACCGAGACUUCCUGCCGAAAUUUCGGCAGAGUCUCCCCUAUAAAUUGGACAUUUCCCAAAAUUUCAACCUGCAUAAAAACACAUUUAAUAUUCCCAACUGGCAGCAUGCACAAUAUAAUUUCAUGCAAUUCACACAAAUGGCCUUCGGCCUUCCAAUAAAUCUCAACCAACUACCAAACCAUUCAAAUACAAUUUAUGACUAACAUUUAGUCUGCGGCUGCGCCUAAUAACCUUAGGCUGCCUACGUACCCUCUUUGAGGGAUCAAGCCACAUGUAGUUCUUCCCUAAGACUCAGUUCCACACUUGGGCGAUGCCUUAUUUCAUUUCUCGGUAUUUCAUGGAAUCUCCCCAUACGCCGGUACAACCAACGCCACGUAUGGGGCCUGUCAACACGCCGGAUAACCUACGCCACGUGCGACCAUGCCAUACUAUCAUAAUAUCUCCCCAUACGCCGGUACAACCAACGCCACGUAUGGGGUCUGUCUCAACGCCGGAUAACCUACGCCACGCGAGACCUGCACAUCAUAUCACAUAACUCCCCAUACGCCGGUACAACCAACGCCACGUAUGGGGCCUGUCCCAACGCCGGAUAACCUACGCCACGCGGGACCUCAAUAUCAUAUCACAAAGCUCCCCAUACGCCGGUACAACUAACGCCACGUAUGGGGUCUGUCGACACGCUGGAUAACCUAUGCCACGUGCGACCUCAACAUAAUAUCACAUAAUCUCCCCAUACGCCGGUACAACCAACGCCACGUAUGGGGCUUGUCUCAACGCCGGAUAACCUACGCCACGUGAGACCUGAACAUCAUAUUACAUAGCUCCCCAUACGUCGGUACAACCAACGCCACGUAUGGGGCCUGUCCCAAUGCCGGAUAACCUACGCCAAGCGGGACCUAACUUUCACUUGGUGGUACUUGUAGUGGAUCCAACAUCCGAGGAGGUACCUAAAGUAGUGCGUAUAGCACUCCAAACUGACACUUUAGACUCUGUUGUACCCUUGUACAACCAUAUAUAAUUAUAGUUAUAUAAAUUAAUUCUAAUAUUGUGUAACCCUCCACAAUCAUCUAGCACCCGAUAAUCCCCCCUAGAAAAGUGAGAUUACUCCGGGAGACUCACGAUCAACCAAGGGUCAAACUACUCUAACCCUGGUCAACCGGACCUGCAAAACCCACGACCUCCAAUUUUCGAUCCGAAAGUCCCUAUGGGUUCUACCAGGUAUAGGACACUUGUCCUGCAAGUUUGGUUCAGAUCGGACGGUCGGAUUGCUCACGAUCGCACGAUCUGACGGUUAAUAUAAAAUAUAAACUUAAAAUUAUUAUUCGGAACAUCCGGGGCUCCGAUUCACGAUCCGUGAAUUCCUACACGAUCCUAGAAAUACCUAGAUUAACAUAUAUUAAAUUUGAGACCAUCCGACGGUCCCAACCUAUCGAACUCGGAUAACGCAUAAUAUGCGAUUAUCAGUUCGAUAGUCAAACGACGUCCGAAUUGAGAUCCGCGAAAUCCUACGCACUCGUGACAACCUAAGGAUCUCAUCGGAACACAUCGCUACUUUUUCUACAGUGCCCACACGCCGCCGCACGCGCCGGCAGCGCGUGGGUGCCCAUAGCGAUAACGCUUCGCCAGAAAAUCUCAACAUCUCGGCUCCAAACUCCUACCCUAGGUAUAACACCCUAUUUGGAGCCACUUUUGUUCUUGGACCUACCCCAAAAAGUGGCCGAAAAUGGCCGAUCACGGCGGCCGAAGUUUUGGCCGAUUUUCAAUUCGAAAAUCGAGUGAUCUAGAGAUCGAAUCGAUCAAAACCCAACCAACAGGCAGCUAGAACAGCUUGAGAGGUUCAAAAUCCAUACCUGGGUCGACGGAAUUGGUGGCCGGAGGAGGGAGAUCGACGGCGUUGAAGUUUCGACGACUUCCCGGCGAUUUUCUGCAUUUUCCGGCCAGCACCGGCCGCGUCGCCGGCGGGGAACGGUCGGGGAAGGAAGGGGACGUCGUCCCGGUCAUUUUGGUACCGGCCCCGCCCACAGCCGUGGUCGGUGGCCGGAGAUACGAGGAGAGAAAGAGAGAGAGCUGACGGGAGAGAGAGAGAAGUCGCGGGAGAGAGAGAGAGAGAGAGAGAGAGAGAGAGAGAGAGAGAGAGAGAGAGAGAGAGAGAGAGAGAGAGAGAGAGAAAAACCAAAUUUUAUAAAAAAUCUCAUUUCAAAAUAUUUACGAUUAUGCCACUGGACUUCUUUUGACCAUAUCUCUCUCGUUACAACUCCGAUUCGAGCCCACUACGUGUCUGUGAACUCGUCUCAGUACGACCUAUUCAAAAAUAUUAGUCACGGUCCCAAACUCUCUCCGGUUAAAAAUAUGACUAAAAUACCCUUAAAUAAUUAAAUAAUUAAAUGAGGGUAAAAUUUGGGGAAAUUUGGGGUCGGGGUGUUACAGGACCCGAUCCAAAUUCCACUUUAGAAUUCGUGUCGGACCCCGUGCGUGUCCGACACCUGGCGAAUGUCGGGCACAAAAGACCUUUUUACCCUUCCAGUUACAACUAAGAUUUAAAAUUUUCCCUGGACUCCUACCGAAAAUUCGGUAGAGUCUGUCCUCUAAUUUGUCCAAACCCAAAAAUUUUCACUUGUCAAACAAGCAAAUAACUUUACACCCAAUUGCCAGAAUAAGUAAACAAGGUAUCCAACAGUUCUGGUUCUCAACUCUAACCAGAUAUCAGAGCAGUUACUAAUAUUUACAAGAAAUUAAGCGUUUUACAACAAAAUCCUACAUUUCGUAGGUGGCGCGGGAGCUAAGAGAACGCCCGGUGGUGGAUUCUUGUGCACGUCUACUGCCUGGGGCGCAAAACAUUUGAAAGUGUGAGUGGACAAAAAUAGAGUUCUCGAAACAAAUUAUGAACAUAAUAACCCCCACUGUAAAAACAAAUAUAUAUAAAAAAACUAGACUUUUUCCUAUUCACUAUAUUCAUAUUAAAAAUCAAAGCAUUCUCAUAUAUACAUAUGUAAAACAUGCUCAAUGUCGAGAAAACUCGCAUAAAAUUACUGUAAUCAAUAUUCGCAUAAAAGCACUGAAAUCCCUUUAAAACUACCACCUAGGUGUACCCCUGUAAUUCCGUCAAUUCCCCUGGCAGGUCUCGGCGACACACAGUCUAUCCGAGCCGCAAACUAGCAGGAUUCAGGGGACCGCAGUCAGCCUGAUCUGCUGGCAGGUCUCGGUGACACAAAGUCAACUCGAGCCGCAACUGGCAGGAUUCAGGGGCCCGUAGUCAGCCUGAUCCGCAAUCCUGGCAGGUCUCGGGACACCAAGUCAAUCCGAGCCGCAAAUCCUGGCAGGUCUCGGGACACCAAGUCAAUCCGAGCCGCAAAUCCUGGCACUCACGGUCCGGGCAUCCCCGAAAAUCGUGAGGCAAAUGUCAAGUGCACUGACAAAACUGAGGGUAAACUAGAUGUCUUUAGACAUCGGCAUAACUGAGGGUAAUAACCAUAGCUGGGUACCCACGGUGGUUUAAAAUAAAAUAUCUUUGAAAAGUCUAAUAAAUGGCUGAAGUUUGUUAAAUCUAAAACUAUGCUGCUAUUUUAUCUGAUAUAAACUCAAAUUCUGCUUUCUAUAACUCUUAGCAUAUUCAACUGAGUAGCACCAAAAAUAAGGAUAUUUCACUUCACAAUUCAUGCUAGGAAAAACAUAUUUAAUAAAACUUAUUCAAGAUCAAAUAAUGAAAUUCAUUUAGAUAAACUCAUUUAUAAAAGAAAAGUCCACUCACUUUUGGUUCGAGCUAGCUGGACCUCUUGAAGGUCCCUCCUGCGGGUCGGUUUGGCCCCGGGUGCCUGAUUAACCAUGAAUAUUAAAUUAAUAAAACUGCUCAAUAAAAAUAUCAAAUUAAAACCCUGACCCCCGGCUCCUAAACACACGUGCACUAACUUUGAGUCAUUCCUAUGCCCACUUUAGCAUUUUAGACGUUUAAAACGGUUUUAAAAGGCAUGAGGCCUUAGUAAGCGAUAAACUGCUAGACCGGUCGAUCCGAAACCCCGUGGGGUCCACGACCUCGAAUGGCCGAAUUGGACGGUUGGAUUGACCACAAUCGUGUGAUCGCUUAAUUUCCAAACCCUAGCCCCAGGGUUCGCGAUUUCGGAGUAUCCGGGACUCCGAUUUGCAAUUCGUUGAAUCCUACACGGUUCUGAAAUUAUGUAGAAUAACAUAUCCGAAUUUGAGUGCGAUCCAACGGCUCGACAGUAUUGAACCCGAAAAUCGCACAAUAUGAAAAAUCCGUUCGGGGCUCAAACGGUAUCCAAAUUGAGAUCCGCAAAAUCCUACGCGUUCGUGACAACACGAGGAUCGCAAAAAUACACAAGGUCACUGCACUACCCUUACCCACGCGCCGCCACACGCGACGGCAGAGGUGGGUGUCCAAAGCAAUAACGUCUCGUCGGAAAAACUCAACAAAAUCGAAGGAGAAUUGAAGGAGAACGAAGGGUUGGAUGUUUAGCCCAAAAUCGGUCGAAUUUCUCCUUUUUUCGGCUAGCUCCGGUCGGCUCGUGGGCGGAGAUCGGUCGGGAUGUGACGGCGAGGUCGAGGCGGUUCCGUUGGCACCGGCGCCGUGGCUCGGGGUGGCUUGUGGCGACGGCUGGAUUGAUCGGAAGGAGGGGCGGCUGGCUCGCGCGCGCGGGAGAGAGAGAGAGACAGGGAGGAGAGAGAAACUGAGGGGGAAGAGAGAGAGAAGGGAUAAAAAUCUGAUUUUUGUCCAAAUUACCAUUUUGCCCUUCACGGUAUUUUGAUCGUAUUUUCUUCGUUACAACUCCGAUUCGAGUCCACUCCGUGUCUAUGGACUCGUUUCGUCGUGCUCUACGCAACGGUGUAAGUGAAAUUGUCAAAUUACUUCUUGGUCAAAAAGUCAACUUUUUCCCCAAUAAAAUAUGGUGAGGGCAAAAUCGUCCUUUUCCCAAAAUAAAUUAAUAAUUAAUUAAGGAUUUUUGUUUUGGGUUGUUACAAUCUACCCCCCUUAAAAAAAAUUUCGUCCUCGAAAUUUACAUACCUGUUACUCGAAGAGGUAAGGAUACUGUUCCCGCAUUUGAUCCUUAGGUUCCCAUGUGGCCUCUUCCACAUUAUAACUCCUCCAUAAGACCUUCACAAGUGGAAUCUCCCUCGAACGCAAAACUUGCAUCUUCCGAUCUAAAAUCUGAACUGGUUGCUUGACAUAAGUCAAAUCUUCUUGUAACUCUAUCGGUUGUUCCUCCAACACAUGAGAAGGAUCAGAAAUGUAUCUCCGGAGCAUCGAGACAUGAAACACAUCGUGCAACCGGGAAAGAUCUGAAGGCAAGGCAAGUCUGUAAGCUACUGGGCCUACACGCUCCACAAUCUCGUAAGGUCCAAUAUAGCGAGGACUUAGUUUCCCUCGCCUUCCGAACCGCACUACGCCGUUCCAAGGUGAUAACUUCAGAAAUACCCAGUCACCAACCUCAAACUGGAGGUCUUUUCUUCUGUUGUCUGCAUAGCUCUUUUGUCUGUCCUGGGCCGUUUUGAGUCGUUCUCGAAUUAAUUUCACUUGUUCCUUCAUCCAUUCGACAUCAUCUGCCACUUCCAAUCUGUGUUCGCCUACUUCAUCCUAGUAGAAUAGAGUUCUACACUGUUUUCCGUAUAUGGCAUCAAAUGGGGACAUUCUGAUACUCGCCUGGUAGCUGUUAUUGUAGGCAAACUCCAUAAGUGGCAACUUCUCAUCCCAGUCAUCCCGAAACUGCAGUGCACAAGCUCUCAACAUAUCUUCUAAAGUCUGAAUCGUCCUCUCAGACUGACCGUCUGUCUGAUGAUGAAAGGCAGUGCUAAACUGCAACUGGGUUCCGAAUGCUUCAUUUAACUUUGUCCAAAAACGGGAAGUAAACCGUGGAUCUCUAUCAGAAGUAAUAGAUACUGGCACCCCAUGAAGUCUCACUAUCUCAUCUAUGAAGAGCUUCGCCAACUUAUUUAACGUGUAGCUUGCUCUUACCGGUAAGAAAUAGGCAGACUUCGUGAGUCGAUCCACAAUCACCCAAACUCCAUCAUGCUUAUUCUGUGUUCGAGGGAGCUUGAAUACGAAAUCCAUAGUCAGAUGCUCCCACUUCCAUUCAGGAAUUGGAAGUGGUUGUAACAGCCCUGAUGGUUUCUGCCGUUCCGCUUUCACCUGCUGACAAAUCAAGCACUUCCUGACAUAUUCUGCUAUCUCUUUCUUCAUGAAAGGCCACCAGUAGUGCUCUCUCAAAGUAUGGUACAUUUUAGUAUUUCCAGGGUGCAUUGCAAAGGCUGAACUGUGGGCUUCCUCGAGAAUUUCCCUCUUUAGAGCUUCAUCAUUAGGAACAUACAACCUGGUACCCACCAUUAGAGCUCCAUCAUUUCUAACUGAACAGUCAGUUCUGUCACCACUUUCCACCUCUGCUCGUAGGGUGCAAAUCAAGGGAUCCUGUGCUUGAGCGGCGAGUAUUCGUUCUAUUAGUACUGGUCUCACCUGGAGAGUAGCUAACAGUGCUCCCUGCUCAUCCACACCCAGCUCAACUCUGAGCUUUCUCAGUUCUAUCAUCAACAGUACGUAUCUCCCUCGGAGAUAAGCUACUGAGCCAGAAGAUUUCCUGCUGAGUGCAUCAGCUGCAACAUUAGCUCUCCCCGGAUGGUGCUCAAUGAUACAAUCAUAGUCCUUGAUCAACUCUAGCCAUCUUCUUUGCCUUAGAUUUAACUCCUUCUGAGUGAAUAAAUACUUUAAGCUCUUGUGAUCUAUAAAAAUCUGGCAUGUUGCUCCGUACAGGUAGUGCCGCCAAAUCUUCAAAGCAAACACCACUGCUGCCAACUCCAAAUCAUGAACAGGGUAAUUCAUCUUAUGCUUCUCUAGCUGUUUAGAAGCAUAAGCAAUAACCCGACCAUGUUACAUUAGCACACACCCAAGUCCCUGUUGGGAUGCAUCACUGUAGAUAACCAAGUUCCCACUAUCAUCUGGAAGUGUCAAAACCGGAGCAGUGGUUAACCUGGUUUUGAGUUCGUUGAAGCUUUUCUCACACUCAUCUGACCAUUCAAACUUAACUCCUUUUCUUGUCAAACGAGUGAGAGGCGCCUCUAUAGUAGAAAAGCCUUUCACGAAGCGACGAUAAUCCUGGCAGGUCUCGGGACACCAAGUCAAUCCGAGCCGCAAAUCCUGGCAGGUCUCGGGACACCAAGUCAAUCCGAGCCGCAAAUCCUGGCACUCACAGUCCGGGCGUCCCCGAAACUCGUGAGGCAAAUGUCAAGUGCACUGACAAAACUGAGGGUAAACUAGAUGUCCUUAGACAUCGGCAUAACUGAGGGUAAUAACCAUAGCUGGGUACUCACGGUGGUUUAAAAUAAAAUAUCUUUGAAAAGUCUAAUAAAUAGCUGAAGUUUGUUAAAUCUAAAACUAUGCUGCUAUUUUAUCUGAUAUAAACUCAAAUUCUGCUUUCUAUAACUCUUAGCAUAUUCAACUGAGCAGCACCAAAAAUAAGGAUAUUUCACUUCACAAUUCAUGCUAGGAAAAACAUAUUUAAUAAAACUUAUUCAAGAUCAAAUAAUGAAAUUCAUUUAGAUAAACUCAUUUAUAAAAAAAAAGUCCACUCACUUCUGGUCCGAGCUAGCAGGACCUCUUGAAGGUCCCUCCUGCGGGUCGGUCUGGCCCCGGGUGCCUGAUUAACCAUGAAUAUUAAAUUAAUAAAACUGCUCAAUAAAAAUAUCAAAUUAAAACCCUGACCCCCGGCUCCUAAACACACGUGCACUAACUUUGAGUCAUUCCUAUGCCCACUUUAGCAUUUUAGACGUUUAAAACAGUUUUAAAAGCCCUGAGGCCUCAGUAAGCGAUAAACUGCUAGACCGGUCGAUCCGGAAUCCCGUGGGGUCCACGACCUCCAAUGGCCGAUCUGGGAUUCCUUAAAGGUUCCUCACAGAGAAAUACCCAUAUCCUGCUAGUUUAGCCCGAAUUGGACGGUUGGAUCGACCACAAUCGUGUGAUCGCUUAAUUUCCAAACCCUAGCCCUAGGGUUCUCGAUUUCGGAGUAUCCGGGACUCCGAUUUGCAAUCCAUUGAAUCCUACACGGUUAUGAAAUUAUGUAGAAUAACAUACCCGAAUUUGAGUGCGAUCCAACGGCUCGACAGUAUUGAACCCGGGAAUCGCACAAUAUGAAAAAUCCGUUCGGGGCUCAAACGGUAUCCAAAUUGAGAUCCGCAAAAUCCUACGCGCUCGUGACAACACGAGGAUCGCAAAAAUACACAGGGUCACUGCACUACCCUCACCCACGCGCCGCCACACGCGCCGGCAGCGGUGGGUGUCCAAAGUGAUAAUGUCUCGCCGGAAAAACUCAAAACCACGGCUCCAAACUCCUAUCCUAGGUAAAACACCACAUUUGGAGCCACUUUUGUUCUUGGACAUACCCCAAAAACUGGCCGGAAACGGCCGAUCACGGAGGCCGAAACUCGGCCGAAUUUCAAAUCCAAAACUGGGCAAUCUACGGUUAAAAUUGAUGAAAACCUAUCCAACCAUCAGUUAGAGCACGAAAAAUAGGUGAGAAUCCAUACCUUACUCGAUAAAAUCGGAGGAGAAUUGAAGGAGAACGAAGGGUUGGAAGUUUAGCCCAAAACCGGUCGGAUUUCUCCUCUUUCCGGCCAGCUUCGGUCGGCUCGUGGGCGGAGAUUGGUCGGGAUGUGACGGCGAGGUCGAGGUGGUUCCGUUGGCACCGGCACCGUGGCUCGGUUGGAUUGAUCGGAAGGAGGGGGUCGGCUGGCUCGCGCGCGGGAGAGAGAGAGAGAGAGAGAGGGAGGAGAGAGAAACUGAAGGGGAAGAGAGAGAGAAUGGAUAAAAAUCUGAUUUUUGUCUAAAUUACCAUUUUGCUCUUCACGGUAUUUUGAUCGUAUUUUCUUCGUUACAACUCCAAUUCGAGUCCACUCCGGGCUCGUUUGGUACACAGGACUGUCUUGGCAUGAACUAUGCUUAGGGACUGGCUUGGCUUGGCUUGGC